rnacentral:lncRNA from 1 species
UUUUAUGCUGUUCCCAUAACACCCAGCACCGAUCUCCAAGGAUGAGUGCUGAAGAUCCAUAGCCAUGGCAGGGCAGGGCCUAGGUACUGAAGGAAGAUCCCACUCAGAGUUCAGUUCCACCCACUGCAAAAUGCCCUCCGAGGACCCUCACUAGACCAGUUCCCCAAAGUGCGGUCUGCAGACUGCCACAGCGGAAUCACAGGCCUUGUAUGACCUCUAAAAAUAUGACCUGAAGCAGAUGGAUGCACUCACAUAAGAAACAUCACCUGUGGCCUUCAUUGAAAAUGGGCCUGCUGCUCUAAGAGGUUGGGAUCUUGGAGUCCUUUAGCACAGGGGCCUUGAAAAUCAAUGACUUCCUUGUUUGCUGAUGGAGCAGAGGUAGAAUCUCUUGGUGUUUCCACAGAGAAAACACUGACCAUAAAGAGCCGAGAAAGAUGACGUGAUGAAGCCAUCAGGGGAAGCACCAAACAUCCUCAACUCUGCUCACCCAUGGUUUUUCUCCCGCCCUCCCAGAGCUCCUCCUGUUGAUGGGCCCCCAACAUGAAACUGGCACUCAGAAUGAAGAAUGCCUUUUCCAGCCUCCCUCGCUG